AAGAAAAGAUGUAAGAAUUGUCAUUUGUAUUUGAUAGAUGGAUGCACGAGGAGUUUGGUGUCUUAUUUUCUUAAUGUGGUUUUUCCUUCCUCCUUUUAUUUUAUAUUCUUAUCCUUGAUUACUCCCAGAUAUAGGGUGCUUGGGAAGUAAUGUAAUAGAAAAGAAUAUGCAUUUCAUGUAUUUAAAAUUGUUGGCUGAUAUGUCUUCAAGUGAGGAUUCUUUGAGCUUUUAUCUUGCUCUGACAUGUUAGUUAGAGAUGCUACCCGAUAUAGCAAAUGACACAACACAUUCAUAUGUAGAAUGUAACCUGUGAUGGCUGGCUGUAAUUGAUAUAUGGUGGCAUUGCCUGUUGAGAAUUGUAUUUGUAAUAUGGAAUCUGGUGUUUGAAUCAUGAAUGAAUGAGUAAAGAAAAUACAAAUUGUUAUUCUGUUGAAGAGGAUAGGGGAGGAUGAAGUAAGAGACCGAAGAUGAGGUAUAAUUUAUUCUAUCCUUGAUAAUUUAACUCUUGUGAUUGCUUUACUUCCCUGUUUUGGUUUAGAUUUUUGGCUGGGAGUAAGCGAUUGCUUUACUUCCCUGUUUUGUUUUCGAAAUGAGCUGUAGUUAGUGAUGUAUUGUGUGAGUUUCCUUUGCUAUUCUUUGGUUUUUGUUCCUAUCUUGGAGGAUUUGUUAUGGGUUAUUAUGGGUUAGCUUUGCGUAAUACUUAUCUGAUAUAAAGUAACUUAGAUUUUAAGAUGAGG
rnacentral:lncRNA from 1 species